rnacentral:rRNA from 1 species
GACGAACGCUGGCGGCGUGCUUAACACAUGCAAGUCGAGCGGUAAGGCCCUUUCGGGGUACGACGAGCGGCGAACGGGUGAGUAACACGUGGGUGACCUGCCCUCAGCUCUGGGAUAAGCCUGGGAAACUGGGUCGUAAUACCGGAUAUGACUCCAUGACGCAUGUUGUGGGGUGGAAAGCCUUGUGCGGCUGGGGAGUGGGCCCGCGGCCUAUCAGCUUGUUGGUGGGGUGAUGGCCUACCAAGGCGACGACGGGUAGCCGGCCUGAGAGGGCGACCGGCCACACUGGGACUGAGACACGGCCCAGACUCCUACGGGAGGCAGCAGUGGGGAAUCUUGCGCAAUGGGCGAAAGCCUGACGCAGCGACGCCGCGUGAGGGAUGACGGCCU